GGCGGAGGGAAGCUCAUCGGUGGGGCCACGUGCUGAGUGCGUCGCGUCACUCCGUCCCUUGUCCCUUGGGAAGGUCUGAGACUAGGGCCAAUAGCGGCCCUAACAGGGCUCUCCCUGAGCCGCGGGGAGGUGAGUUCCCAGAGAGCAGGGCUCCGCGCGAGGGCAGACCGGGCAGGAGAAGCGCGUGCCCACGGGCCCGGCGGAUGCCUCCUUCGCAGGGGCUUGGAACAGACUCACGGCCGGCCGCGUGAGUUCAAUGGCUGAGGUGAGGCACCCGCUGGGGCCUCAUAACCCAAUUCAGACUACUCUCCCCCGCC
rnacentral:RNase_P_RNA from 1 species